rnacentral:rRNA from 1 species
CAGUCGAACGAGAAGCUUCUUUCGGGAAGUGGAGAGUGGCGCACGGGUGAGUAACGCGUGGGGAUCUACCCUUUGGUACGGGAUAACGUUUGGAAACGAACGCUAAUACCGUAUGUGGUUUACGGACUAAAGAUUUAUCGCCAAAGGAUGAACCCGCGUAAGAUUAGAUAGUUGGUGGGGUAAUGGCCUACCAAGUCUACGAUCUUUAGCUGGUCUGAGAGGACGAUCAGCCACACUGGAACUGGGACACGGUCCAGACUCCUACGGGAGGCAGCAGUGGGGAAUAUUGGACAAUGGGCGCAAGCCUGAUCCAGCCAUGCCGCGUGAGUGAUGAAGGCCUUAGGGUUGUAAAGCUCUUUCGCUAGGGAAGAUAAUGACGGUACCUAGUAAAGAAGCCCCGGCUAACUUCGUGCCAGCAGCCGCGGUAAUACGAAGGGGGCUAACGUUGUUCGGAUUUACUGGGCGUAAAGCGUACGUAGGCGGAUUAGUAAGUUAGGGGUGAAAUCCCGAGGCUCAACCUCGGAACUGCCUUUAAUACUGCUAAUCUAGAGAUCGGGAGAGGUGUAUGGAACUCCUAGUGUAGAGGUGGAAUUCGUAGAUAUUAGGAAGAACACCAGUGGC